rnacentral:rRNA from 1 species
GGGGGAAUAUUGCACAAUGGAGGGAACUCUGAUGCAGCGACGCCGCGUGAACGAAGAAGGCUUUCGAGUCGUAAAGUUCUUUUAUAUGGGAAGAUAAUGACGGUACCAUAAGAAAAAGCCCCGGCUAACUACGUGCCAGCAGCCGCGGUAAUACGUAGGGGGCUAGCGUUGUCCGGAAUCACUGGGCGUAAAGGGUUCGCAGGCGGAAAUGCAAGUCAGGUGUAAAAGGCAGUAGCUUAACUACUGUAAGGAUUUGAAACUGCAUAUCUUGAGAAGAGUAGAGGUAAGUGGAAUUUUUAGUGUAGCGGUGAAAUGUGUAGAUAUUAAAAAGAAUACCGGUGGCGAAGGCGACUUACUGGGCUCAUUCUGACGCUGAGGAACGAAAGCGUGGGUAGCAAACAGG